UGCGCAGGUGGGAAUGUAAGUCAGUGGUGAAAUACUGCCGCUUAACGGUAGAAUUGCCAUUGAUACUGCAUUUCUUGAGUAUGGUUGAGGUAGGCGGAAUGUGUCGUGUAGCGGUGAGAUGCAUAGAUAUGACACAGAACGCCGAUUGCGAAGGCAGCUUACUAAGCCAUUACUGACACUGAGGCACGAAAGCGUGGGGAGCGAACAGGAUUAGAUACCCUGGUAGUCC
rnacentral:rRNA from 1 species